UACGUAGGUGACCAGCGUUGUCCGGAUUUACUGGGCGUAAAGAGCGCGCAGGCGGUCGUUCAAGUCGAGUGUGAAAGCCCCCGGCUCAACUGGGGAGGGUCAUUCGAUACUGAUCGACUGGAAGGCAGGAGAGGGAAGCGGAAUUCCCGGUGUAGUGGUGAAAUGCGUAGAUAUCGGGAGGAACACCAGUGGCGAAGGCGGCUCACUGGACCAGUACUGACACUGAGGAGCGAAAGCAUGGGGAUCAAACAGG
rnacentral:rRNA from 1 species